rnacentral:rRNA from 1 species
GGACUACAAGGGUAUCUAAUCCUGUUUGUUCUCUGUGCCUUCGUCCUUCAACGUCAGUUUUUACAUAGAGGGCUGCCUUCGCCUUUACAGAGUCCCUUUGGUAUCAGUAAAUUUCAUCUCUCCUCCUCAAGUACUGCCCUCUUACAUAAAACUCUAGUCAAGUACUAACAUUUUAGAAGCUAUUUUGACCGUUUGGGUACCCUUUAAACCUAAUUAAGAUGAAUAACACUAGUCUCUUACGUAUUACCGCGGCGGCUGGCAC